AAAACUGGGGCCCAAAGAAGGUUACCUACUUGCCCGAGGAAAACUGUACCAAAACUCUGGCCUGAUUCCAAAAUAUGACAACUUCUCUACGCUGCCUUUCCUUUCCUGAAACACCACCAACCACUGCCUCCUGAGCACCCAUUUUGUAUACAUUACCUCCUGAAAUCCUUACAACUCCACGUGAGGUGGGCAUUAUCAUUUUUAUUAUAAAGAUUAGGAAAAUUAAGACCUAAAGAAGUUAGGUAACUAGCUAGGAUUUACUUUCUGGUUCACUGCUGUAAAGGCCAUAAUCUCUUUUCAAUAUAUCACGCUGCUUUCCAGUUCUGAAACUGAAUAAACGCAUCAACACAAGAUGAUCCCUUCCUUUACAGGAAAGAAGUAUUCUAUUUGGGAUGAAGAUCUAGUCAGACAGAAUCUCUUGUUACCAUGGCAACUCUCCUCUUCCUCUCUUCACAGGCCCCCUCACCUCUCUCAGCAAAAUGACCAAACAACUUCUCAAGGAUUAUCAUCAAUUACUCCACUACCUCCCCUGUCAAGCACAUAACUGGAAACGCUUAAAGAUAGCAGAAGGAAAUCUUCCCCCUAGAAAAAGUCCUCAGCACCACUCUGAACUCUGUAUGGUAACCUUACUCCAAGGACCAAAUUAGGUUUGGUAUAUUUUUAAAAUAAAAAAAUGAAACGUUUCCCNNNNNNNNCUUCCAUCUUGUGCCAUUAUCAACCUGAUGAAUGACAGACAUUUCUAGGUCUGCAACUUCAUCUAUAAAAUCAACAGCAUGAUCUUGGAUUUUAGAGCUCUAAGUUAUCUGAUAUACAUCCUCUCUUCCUUUGCCUGACUGGGGAAGAAAGAAGCUGGAAAGUGGGGUGGGUGGGUAGGGUGGGGGAACGUAGACUCCACAGUAAUUAAAGCAAAAUAACCAUUAUUAGCUUCUAAUGUAUACACAAAGAUCUACUCAUAGGCACACAAAGUCCAAUCUGAAACAAGCAACAAAAAACAAUCCAGAGUUUGUGCUUUGCCAAUUCCAAAAGAAUCAUCUAUUUUUAGCUUACAUCCACUCAAGAGAUGGCCUAGGCUGGUCUGUAGUAGCCAACUGAACUGCUGAACAGUCAACUUGGCUCACCAAUGAAUCUCUAAGGCAAGACAAAUCUUCGGUCCUUAAGAGUAGUAACCUUUGGCUUGACUGCAUCCAUAAGUUCAAUAUAAGAAAAGAAAGCUAGAAAGAUUUUCAGUUUGCCAAGAAAGUAGCAUUUCAAAUAUACACAUUUAUUCCAGUAUCUCAUUUCUUCUGGUAUAAAAAGAAAGGUUGGCCAAGACUCCAAAGUCUGGACAUCCUUACAUUCCAAUCUUCAUUCUCCAAGUCUAACUGAGUCACUUUAUAGCAGGGGGCUGUGAGAAGGACCAAAGGGGGCAAGAUUAAAAUUAAAAUUCUAAAAUCACUUGCAAAACAACCUUAAAUAACAAUGAAUUUAGGGCUGUGAACAAAGGUAAGAAUUUCAAUAAAUUCUGAAUUUGAGAAAAGGUAUAAAACUUUAUAUUUCACCUUUAAAAUUAUCUAUAAACUAAAGCAUUUCAAUAAAUAUAUGCAGUUCAGUAGAUCACCUAAAUUUAAAUGUGAGAACCAGCCAAUCAAUGCUUUCUCAAACCAAUCCAGGGAGCUUUGCCUAGUAUUCUGGAUGCUGCCUUCAGUCAGACACAACGCAAAGAACACUAGACAAAGCGGCAGUGUGAGCUCAAGUCCCAAAUCUGACAUUAAUUAACUGGGUAUGCCACCAAAGCUCCUAGCUCAUGGGAUAUCCAACAUCAGGGAGGUGUUUCCGGAAGCAGAGGGUAUACCAGAGAGGCUGCUGGACAGCCCACUGACAGCAAGAGAGCCUUUGAGGUCUCUAAGGACAGGGAGGUGGGGUAAAAGGGCUACAGAAAGAACAUUCAGUAAAGCUUUUUAGAAGAAAGUGAAACAAGAAGAUACUGACCAGCUUUUUCGAACAAAAAAAAAAAAACAAAAAUAACUUUCUCUUAGAGAAAACUUUCUUACUUGUUAGGAAAGAAACUUUAAAACUUUUAUUCAAAUAAACAUUAAACACUUAAGUCUAUUACUAUAUGGGUCAGAAGACACUCUUGGUACCAGGAACACAAAACUCGUCUCUCUCAUCUAGUACAGAAAUACAAACAGCAAACUAAGAGACAAAAACAGGGAGAAGGGCCCUCAGGAGGAGAGAAGUGCAGCUCAAAGCAGAGAUGGCGCCUAUAAGGUCAUGAGGUCAAGGCAAAGGAAGAGUCUAUUAGGAAGAUAAAAGGGUGAAAGCAGCAACCAUGGCAGACCAGUAAGAAUCUAGCUGAGGGGCACCAGACGGUGAAAGACCUUAAGCUAUACUGCAGAGUCUCUCAAGGAACGUGAUCCUGGAGGUGGUGCAAAGGGGAGAGGCCAGCAGAGGUCAGAAAGAAGGUCAGCAUCUCAGGCCUGAGGCUAGGAAUGGCUGAAAAGAGAGAGAGCAGUGCGACAAAGUCGCAGGGGAGCAGACAGGACCUAGUGACCAAAUGGAUGUAAACUGUGAGGUAAAUGAGAUAUGGUAAUGCUGAGGCUUUUAAGUCUACAGAAAGUUAUAAACAUUUCCUUUUAAAAAUUAAAAUUAGCAGAGUGACAAAAUUUUAGAGCCAAAAGGGCCUUUCCUAGUCACAGUGGGCCCCAGAGUUGUAGAGCCUGGCAGUUAAGAAGUAACAUGAGCAAGAAGUCUAGCAGAGGUGACAGUGACUCCAGCAGCUGCUAAAAGGAAAGCUUGAAAUUUACAUACACACAUCAGCAAAACAUCACUAUUUGCUGGAGUAACAUUACACGUAAGGGACCUCUUUCUAUCCUUGUAGAGGCCUCUCAAAGUUUCCUGUUGUCUUCUGCNNNNNNNNNNNNNNNNNNNNNNNNNNNNNNNNNNNNNNNNNNNNNNNNNNNNNNNNNNNNNNNNNNNNNNNNNNNNNNNNNNNNNNNNNNNNNNNNNNNUCUUUCUAUCCUUGUAGAGGCCUCUCAAAGUUUCCUGUUGUCUUCUGCUUUCUUUCAAAAAUAUUUACAGUGUACUUAUAAACUUACAGAGAGAUAAGGUAACUUUUAUCAAUGACUCCAAAAGCCCUAAGGGCAACCAUAAACAAAAGGCUUACUUAUUCUUUCCCUCUCCCUACAAAUACUUUUCAAAUUCUAAAAGAUGAUGCUGUGAAAGUACUGCACUCAAUAUGCCA
ensembl:lncRNA